rnacentral:rRNA from 1 species
GACGAACGCUGGCGGCGUGCCUAAUACAUGCAAGUCGAACGCAUUUUCUUUCACCGUAGCUUGCUACACCGAAAGAAAAUGAGUGGCGAACGGGUGAGUAACACGUGGGUAACCUGCCCAUCAGCGGGGGAUAACACUUGGAAACAGGUGCUAAUACCGCAUAAUUCCAUUUACCGCAUGGUAGAUGGGUGAAAGGCGCUUUUGCGUCACUGAUGGAUGGACCCGCGGUGCAUUAGCUAGUUGGUGGGGUAACGGCCUACCAAGGCUGCGAUGCAUAGCCGACCUGAGAGGGUGAUCGGCCACACUGGGACUGAGACACGGCCCAGACUCCUACGGGAGGCAGCAGUAGGGAAUCUUCGGCAAUGGACGCAAGUCGGACCGAGCAACGCCGCGUGAGUGAAGAAGGUUUUCGGAUCGUAAAACUCUGUUGUUAGAGAAGAACAAGGAUGAGAGUGGAAAGUUCAUCCCUUGACGGUAUCUAACCAGAAAGCCACGGCUAACUACGUG